rnacentral:rRNA from 1 species
UACGUAGGGUGCGAGCGUUAAUCGGAAUUAUUGGGCGUAAAGAGCUCGUAGGCGGUUUGUUGCGUCGGCUGUGAAAUCCCGAGGCUCAACCUCGGGUCUGCAGUCGAUACGAGCAAACUAGAGUGUUGCAGGGGAGACUGGAAUUCCUGGUGUAGCGGUGAAAUGCGUAGAUAUGUGGAGGAACACCGAUGGCGAAGGCAGCCCCCUGGGUUAACACUGACGCUCAUGCACGAAAGCGUGGGGAGCAAACAGG